rnacentral:rRNA from 1 species
UUUAGAGUUUGAUUCCUGGCUCAGGACGAACGCUGGCGGCGUGCCUAACACAUGCAAGUCAGGGAGAAAGGGGUAGCAAUAUCCCAAGUAAACCGGCGAACGGGUGAGUAACACGUAGGUAACCUGCCCUGGGGUUGGGGAUAACCUUGAGAAAUCGGGGCUAAUACCGAAUAAUGCAGCGGAUCCGCAUGGGUAUGUUGUUAAAGUUGUCUCGACUUGUCGAGACAACACCUCAGGAUGGACCUGCGCCCGAUUAGCUAGUUGGUGGGGUAAUGGCCUACCAAGGCAACGAUCGGUAGCCGGCCUGAGAGGGUGACCGGCCACACUGGGACUGAGAUACGGCCCAGACUCCUACGGGAGGCAGCAGUGAGGAAUAUUGGUCAAUGGCCGAAAGGCUGAACCAGCAACGCCGCGUGAGGGAUGAAGCACCAAGGUGUGUAAACCUCUGUUAGGAGGGACGAAUAGGUCCAUAGUGAAUAAUUAUGGAGCUUGACNGACCUCCAGAGAAAGCCCCG